rnacentral:rRNA from 1 species
UACUGCUAUCGGGGUCCGACUAAGCCAUGCGAGUUGAAUGUCCGAAAGGGCAUAGCGCACUGCUCAGUAACACGUGGACAACCUGCCCUGAGGACUGGAAUAAUCCCGGGAAACUGGGGGUAAUUCCAGAUAUGUCAGAACUCCUGGAAUGGGUUCUGGCAGAAAGGCUCCGGCGCCUCAGGCUGGGUCUGCGGCCUAUCAGGGUAGUAGUGGGUGUAACGUACCUACUAGCCUACGACGGGUACGGGUUGUGAGAGCAAGAGCCCGGAGAUGGAUUCUGAGACAUGAAUCCAGGCCCUACGGGGUGCAGCAGGCGCGAAAACUUUACAAUGCGGGCAACCGCGAUAAGGGGACCUCGAGUGCUGGGUUACAAACCUGCCUGUUGGGCUGCCUAAAAAGCAGUCUAUAGCAAGGGCCGGGCAAGACCGGUGCCAGCCGCCGCGGUAACACCGGCGGCUCGAGUGGUAACCGCUAUUAUUGGGUCUAAAGGGUCUGUAGCCGGCCGACUAAGUCUCUUGGGAAAUCUGGCAUCUCAAGUGUCAGGCUGCCAGGGGAUACUGGUCGGCUUGGGACCGGGAGAGGUGAGAGGUACCUC